GGCUGCUUCCCUGAAAAGUAAUUACAACCUUCCCAUGCACAAGAUGAUGAACACAGACCUAAGCAGGAUCUUCAAAAGCCCAGAGAUCCAAAGAGCCCUCCGAGCACCACGCAAGAAGAUUCAUCGUAGAGUC